GGCCUAGUGGCGCAACGGUAGCGCGUUCGACUCCAGAGUCUUGAUUUCAAAAUCUUGCUCCAGGAGAAGGUAUCGAAAGGUUAUCCGUUCAAAUCGGGUCUGGGUCA